AGCAGCCGCGGUAAUUCCAGCUCCAAUAGCGUAUAUUAAAGUUGUUGCAGUUAAAAAGCUCGUAGUUGAAUUUCGGGAUCAAAUUGUCGGUCGUGCCUCGGUACGCACUGGCGUUAUUGGUUCCUCCCUUCUGAAGAACCGCGAUGUCAUUAAUUUGGUGUCGCGGGGAAUCAGGACUGUUACUUUGAAAAAUUAGAGUGUUUAAAGCAAGCUCGCGCUUGAAUACAUUAGCAUGGAAUAAUGAAAUAGGACGUUUGAUUCUAUUUUGUUGGUUUCUAGGAUCGACGUAAUGAUUAAUAGGGAUAGUUGGGGGCAUUAGUAUUCAAUUGUCAGAGGUGAAAUUCUUGGAUUUAUUGAAGACUAACUACUGCGAAAGC
rnacentral:rRNA from 1 species